rnacentral:lncRNA from 1 species
GCUCAUCAGGAGAGCGGCCCAGCUCUCAACCAGUUGUGCCCGAGCAGCACACUACCCCGCCUGAUGCAGACUUUGCAUAGGGUAAUGGUGCCACUGGGGCAGAACGCCCUAAUUCGCUAAGCCGCCCCUACCCACACAGGUAGAAACGCAGCUUGGUACGCAUCUUCGAUGUUGGCCUCACACGGUUACGGAAUUUGUCCGUAACAUCCUCCCCCACUCAAAACCAGG